rnacentral:rRNA from 1 species
GCCUAACACAUGCAAGUCGAACGGCAGCACAGCAGUAGCAAUACUGUGGGUGGCGAGUGGCGGACGGGUGAGGAAUGCAUCGGAAUCUGCCUAUUUGUGGGGGAUAACGUAGGGAAACUUACGCUAAUACCGCAUACGUCCUACGGGAGAAAGUGGGGGACCUUCGGGCCUCACGCAGAUAGAUGAGCCGAUGCCGGAUUAGCUAGUUGGCGGGGUAAAGGCCCACCAAGGCGACGAUCCGUAGCUGGUCUGAGAGGAUGAUCAGCCACACUGGUACUGAGACACGGUCCAGACUCCUACGGGAGGCAGCAGUGGGGAAUAUUGGACAAUGGGCGCAAGCCUGAUCCAGCCAUGCCGCGUGAGUGAAGAAGGCCUUCGGGUUGUAAAGCUCUUUUGUCCGGGAAAGAAAAGCAUUCGGUUAAUAACCGGGUGUCAUGACGGUACCGGAAGAAUAAGCACCGGCUAACUUCGUGCCAGCAGCCGCGGUAAUACGAAGGGUGCAAGCGUUACUCGGAAUUACUGGGCGUAAAGCGUGCGUAGGUGGUUUUGUUAAGUCUGAUGUGAAAGCCCUGGGGCUCAACCUGGGGAACUGCAUUGGAAACUGGCUUACUAGAGUGCGGGUAGAGGGGUGUGGAAAUUUCCCGGUGUAGCAGUGAAAUGCGUAGAUAUCGGGAGGAACAUCUGUGGCGAAGCGACACCUGACCAGCACUGACACUGAGCACGAAAGCGUGGGAGCAAACAGGAUUAGAUACCUGGUAGUCCCGCCCUAAACGAUGCGAACUGGAUGUUGGGGGCAACUUGGCCCUCAGUAUCGAAGCUAACGCGUUAAGUUCGCCGCCUGGGAAGUACGGUCGCAAGACUGAAACUCAAAGGAAUUGACGGGGGCCCGCACAAGCGGUGGAGUAUGUGGUUUAAUUCGAUGCAACGCGAAGAACCUUACCUGGCCUUGACAUGCACGGAACUUUCCAGAGAUGGAUUGGUGCCUUCGGGAACCGUGACACAGGUGCUGCAUGGCUGUCGUCAGCUCGUGUCGUGAGAUGUUGGGUUAAGUCCCGCAACGAGCGCAACCCUUGUCCUUAGUUGCCAGCACGUAAUGGUGGGAACUCUAAGGAGACCGCCGGUGACAAACCGGAGGAAGGUGGGGAUGACGUCAAGUCAUCAUGGCCCUUACGGCCAGGGCUACACACGUACUACAAUGGUAGGGACAGAGGGCUGCAAACCCGCGAGGGCAAGCCAAUCCCAGAAACCCUAUCUCAGUCCGGAUUGGAGUCUGCAACUCGACUCCAUGAAGUCGGAAUCGCUAGUAAUCGCAGAUCAGCAUUGCUGCGGUGAAUACGUUCCCGGGCCUUGUACACACCGCCCGUCACACCAUGGGAGUUUGUUGCACCAGAAGCAGGUAGCUUAACCUUCGGGAGGGCGCUUGCCACGGUGUGGCCGAUGACUGGGGUGAAGUCGUAACAAGGUAGCCGUAUCGGAAGGUGCGGCUGGAUCACCUCCUU